CAUUAGCCGUGGCCCAAAGUCCCAAAUCACUCAGUCACUCACUCACUUCAAGUCUCGUCGCUCUCUCUCCCCUAACAAAAUGGGGAUUUGUCCACUGUUUUAAAGGUAUUCUUCUUAUUCUGAUAGAUUUGAUCUGUUGUUUUGAUUUGAUUUUGUUUCUGGCUUUCUGCAAUUAUAUUUAUAUUGGUAUUUCGAUCAGGAAUUAAGUAAACCAAGAUUGUUCCUUUUCUUUUAUUCUUUAUUUUCGAGCUAUGUGUUACUGGCUUAAGCAUUCCUGCAACAAUUCUGGAUUUCAUUUUUAUGGCAUGGAUGAAUUUGAUAUUCUCAGUGCUUUCACUUAUUAUUGAAAUCAUAGUAUCUACAAUGUACUAUGUAGUAUAAUACUAUGAUUUCAAUUUUCAACUAAUAAGUUCUUAGUCUUUCGCUCUUUACCUACAUCAUUAAUUUAUUAGCUUUUGCAACUCAUCUUCCUGAGCCUUUAGAUACUAUUAAAUCAUUGAUAUUCUUAAAACUGCCAACCAAAGUUUUGAUUUUUAUUAUGUUUUUCUUUAGAUAUUACUGUUGGUGAUGUUUUUGAGUAUGUAUGGAGGAACAUUUUUUUUUUUUUUAACUAUAAUUAGGAUUCCAACUAUAGGAGUUUCACUCGUUAUGAUAUAAAUAGAAGACUGCGAAGCAGUGGGCACCGUUCGUGGAAUUGAAGAGAUCGAUUAGUGAAGAGAAGAACAAGAUAUAUGGAGAGAAGGAUAAGAAAAUGAAGAAAUUGAAUUGAAAUUAGAAUGAUUUCAGGAAAUUGAAAUUGGAGGAUGGAAAGAUACGGGAAGAAGAAGAAGAAUAUGUCCGCCUCAACCGAUAUCUUACUUAGCUUUUCUUUAAAGUGACACUUCAUUGCCCGCCUCAACUAACUGUUGGGUUAAGUGGCACUUCAUUACCCGCCUCAACUAAACCUUUGGGUUAAGUGGCACUUCAUUGUCUGCCUCAAGUAAAACUUUAGUUUAAGUGGCUCUUCAAAGCCCACCCAAUUCAAGCGGCACUUCAUUACCCGCCUCAAUUUGGUGAACCAUUAGAAACUGGAAGUUUUUUUCAUCAAAUAGUCCAUCAACUGGAUACCAAAUCUGUUGAUGUGGCCCAUCAAAUUUGGUGAACCAUUAAAGAUAUCCUUAUGUAACCUUUCUGGUUGAUUAAAAAAAAAAAACCAAGUUGAUCCUGUCCAACACAGCAAUUAUCCAGUGCAUCCUUAUUUAAUGGCAUGACGAGCAAUUAAACAACCGCAUAGCCCGGAAAAAUGUGGUUAUUUACUCUGCCCUUGGUCUUCAGUCUUCACUCAUUAGCCGUGGCCCAAAGUCCCAAACCACUCAGUCACUCACUCACUUCAAGUCUCGUCGCUCUCUCUCCCCGAACAAAAUGGGGAUUUCAAGUGUUUGGUAAAUUUGUUAUUUGUCCACGGUUUUAAAGGUAUUCUUCUUAUUCUGAUAGAUCUGAUCUGUUGUUUUGAUUUGAUUUUGUUUCUGGCUUUCUGCAAUUAUAUUUAUAUUGGUAUUUUCGAUCAGGAAUUAAGUAAACCAAGAUUGUUCCUUUUCUUUUAUUCUUUAUUUUCGAGCUAUGUGUUACUGGCUUAAGCAUUCCUGCAACAAUUCUGGAUUUCAUUUUUAUUAAGUGAACUUUUGGGCAUGGAUGAAUUUGAUAUUCUCAGUGCUUUCACUUAUUAUUGAAAUCAUAGUAUCUACAAUGUACUAUGUAGUAUAAUACUAUGAUUUCAAUUUUCAACUAAUAAGUUCUUAGUCUUUCGCUCUUUACCUACAUCAUUAAUUUAUUAGCUUUUGCAACUCAUCUUCCUGAGCCUUUAGAUACUAUUAAAUCAUUGAUAUUCUUAAAACUGCCAACCAAAGUUUUGAUUUUUAUUAUGUUUUUCUUUAGAUAUUACUGUUGGUGAUGUUUUUGAGUAUGUAUGGAGGAACAUUUUUUUUUUUUUAACUAUAAUUAGGAUUCCAACUAUAGGAGUUUCACUGGUUAUGAUAUAAAUAGAAGACUGCGAAGCAGUGGGCACCGUUCGUGGAAUUGAAGAGAUCGAUUAGUGAAGAGAAGAACAAGAUAUAUGGAGAGAAGGAUAAGAAAAUGAAGAAAUUGAAUUGAAAUUAGAAUGAUUUCAGGAAAUUGAAAUUGGAGGAUGGAAGGAAGGAAAUUGAAGGAUACGGGAAGAAGAAGAAGAAGAAUAUGUGAAGGAGAUGAUAGAGAGGGAGAAGAAAUCGAAGGAAAUGAUAGCUAAAAGAAGGGAAGAUAGGAGAGAUUGAGGGAGGAAGAAGAAGAGCGGGGAAAAAAAAACAAGACAGACGGACAGACAUCAUUUAAGACAUUUUAUUUUUUACAUCCCAUCCCAAAAACCUCCCUAUGGUCGGUGGAUCAUGAACACAACUAGUAUGUAAGUACUAAAUCACAAUUCUCUCAUACAAACAGGGCUUAUUAGUGAGAAAUUACCAAGUUACAACUGUAGACUGCAUAAAGUUUUAAGAUUAUGAAAUCAGUUAGAGGUUGCUUUCACUUUAUAGAGCUGUAAGGAGGUUCAGUAUAUGGGUAUGGGAUCACUGCUCAUUGUGGAAGGGAAUAGUUAACUAUAAGAGAUUAGUUACCAAUCUCAGCUCGACUCGACUGCUCUUUUAUGUUAACGUUCCCAGAAGUCAGUUAAUAGUCUAGAAUGAAAAGGGGUGCAAGCAUGGGACUUCAAAUUUAGAAAUAGGUUUUUUGACAGGGAUCUAAAUACAAAAAGGUCACAGAGUUUAUGCAUGGUAUUAAGUUGAAUAUAACGUUGAUCAAAGGUGGACUACAAAUCUUUAUCCCUACUACUCUGAACGUUAUGUGCGAGGUUAUUGAAACAAGGAGUUGGGUGAACGAAAUUUCCUAGUUUCCCAUCAAAGGUGAACUUUGCUGUAAAUUUGGAUUUUGAUGUUGGGUAGAAGAUCCUGAUUACCUGCAAUAAUUUGCAGGAGGGGAUAUUCGUUAUGGCCAACAGAUGCACAUUAUCCAUAGGGAGCAGAAGCAAUUUCAUGCCUACUCCUGGACUGCAAUAUGGAUGAGUAGCCGAGUACGUGGACAGUACUUCUGCUCAUAGCAACUUGACUCGGACAAGCUGGAAUUUUUUUUACUGCCCACAAUAAACUAAGAGGAUAUCAUUGUAAUGUAGAUACUUUUGCUGGCUUGAGCUUAAAUUUUCUCAACGCCACUUAAUAUCCCCUUGAAGGCUUGACUACAAUAUAUUUUGUUAUUAAAUCUGAAUUGUUUUGUUUUUCUUGUUGGAUUGUUUUUUGUUUUCAGAAUGUAAAAUCCAUGAGCAAGCUUACAUCGGAUGAAGACAUAAAA
rnacentral:lncRNA from 1 species